CGAGUCCCAAAUGUUUUCCGUUCGCGAGGCUGCGAUGCUUGCAAAAUAAAAUCAUUAGUUUUCUGACUCUCGAACCUUUCGUUUCGACUGGCUUCUAAAUUUUAAGUAAAAAAUUAAAAAUUAUCUUAAAACUUGACCAACUAAAAAAUUAAAUUUUAAAAAUCAAGAUGUGUGAACCUUGUUGUGGACCUUUUGAGCCCAGAGGCUGCCGCAGUCGCGAGCUACGUUGUGGCAUUAUGUAUACGACGUGUGACUGCAUCAAGCGAAAUGGCCUGCAGGACAAGUGUCCGCGGGCAGCUUGCCAAGGACGACCCGCAUGCAUGUGCUUCCCGACCCCGACAUGCUGUCCAGCCUCGUUCCCGUUGCGCUUCGCCAACAUGACAAUGGGUGUCAAUAAUAAGCGCAUGCGUUGCGCUGCAACUGCUGCAACAUGCGCUGGCGGCGGUGGCCUUGCCCGCUCCUGUGGAGGAUGCUGCACUGGCGGCGGCGGUGGAUGUAGUCCAUGUGGUCCAUGCGGCGGUGGUCCAUGUAAUGAUUGUCCAUGCUGUGGACCGCAUAGUCCGCCAUGCGGUGCGCCGGCGCCAAUUCCUUGCUCACCCGCGCCCGGCGUUUGCUGUCCGCCAUUGCCUGAGGGCGGCAUACCCGAUCCACGUGUUUGGAAUUGUUGUAACACACCUCCGACAUAUCCAUGUGGCGGUUGCCCAUGUCCGGCUCGUUACCUCAAAAGGAAACAAGAAAACUUACCCUGUGUCUGGUGUGCGCCUUGCAAAGCUCAUUGCUACAACACGCCUCCGAAAUGUUGUUGCUAGAGCUGUAGCCUUUUGAAUGGCGACAAAUCAAUCACCUUUUUAUGGUGACAAAUAGCCGGCACACUGUCACAAAACAAGUUGUUGUAAAAACAACAAACGUUAGUGUAGGAAAUCUUUAUCGACAUUUAGCAAUCCUCACUUUUGUCCGCAUCCCAAGUAAUAUUGCCACACUUAUGUAAGUGGCUUCUGAUAAAAGAAGCAAAACAAAGUUGAAAUGAUGAUAGUUCGGUGUUGUUUUUAUAACAUGAAAUAGCCAGGGGAAAUGCACACAGUUCCACAGUACGUCUCCUAGUUAAGCGUCCCGAGAUAUCGAACAACAAUUGCGGACGCAAUUGACGGAAUGUAUUUGUGAAAGUUUUGGUUGGUAAAAAUUUGGAAGCAGGUUGGAUCAAAGUUUAAAUAUCGUGGCACCAUUAAAAACACUCGGUCCGACAAGAAGAUAGAACGAACUCACAGAAAACUGAGAUUAAUCAGGCAAUUUAUGGCGCUUCGAAUUAAACACGGAUUUUAAAAGUUUACGUGAAGCCGACUGAACUAUGGAGUUUGAUGUAUUUUACUCAAAACUUAAGUCGGUAAAAUGGAAUUUAACGAAUGCGACCCUGGAAAACAUACAACAUACAAUCUCAAAGUUCUUCUUCUUACAAAUUGGCAUAAAUUCUAAAUUUCUAGUUAUACAAAUUUUAUAUGCGCAACUUUUGGACCUUUGGCAAUUAAAUUCUUUUGGAUUGAAGCAAUCAAGAA